AUUGAACGCUGGCGGCAGGCCUAACACAUGCAAGUCGAGCGGAUGAAGAGAGCUUGCUCUCUGAUUUAGCGGCGGACGGGUGAGUAAUGCCUAGGAAUCUGCCUGGUAGUGGGGGAUAACGUUCCGAAAGGAACGCUAAUACCGCGUACGUCCUACGGGAGAAAGCAGGGGACCUUCGGGCCUUGCGCUAUCAGAUGAGCCUAGGUCGGAUUAGCUAGUUGGUGAGGUAAUGGCUCACCAAGGCGACGAUCCGUAACUGGUCUGAGAGGAUGAUCAGUCACACUGGAACUGAGACACGGUCCAGACUCCUACGGGAGGCAGCAGUGGGGAAUAUUGGACAAUGGGCGAAAGCCUGAUCCAGCCAUGCCGCGUGUGUGAAGAAGGUCUUCGGAUUGUAAAGCACUUUAAGUUGGGAGGAAGGGCGUUUGGCUAAUAUCCAGGCGUUUUGACGUUACCAACAGAAUAAGCACCGGCUAACUUCGUGCCAGCAGCCGCCGUAAGAC
rnacentral:rRNA from 1 species